GCAACAUAACCGCGAAAUUCCGGACAUCAACAAAAAAAAACUCUAAUAUACUUAAUUUCUGCAAUACUGAACUUUCUACAAAAUCUACCAUCGAGUAUUUACUUUACUUUAUGUGCUUUAGUUCAAGUACCACGAUUCUCUGCCCACAAUCAGCUCCUACAACAUACAAUAGGUGUUCAUUAAAUUCUGCUUCAUUGAGUCGCGAAUAUAAUGUGUUUACAGCUUAGUCAUUAUUGCUGAGAAAGGGGUAUUUUCAACCCAAAUUAACAGAGCAUGUAACUAGGUCUUUAAACUUAAGUAAUCAUAAAUAAAUCGAGUCUAAAAUGGAGUCUACCGUGUCCGUUUCUAAGGGUGUCUUUCUAUUUCCGAGUACAUUAAAAAAAGCCAAAAAUGUCAGGCAAAAAACAAACUUGUUUGAAAAACAAUUCCUGAAAGAACCAUGGUACAAGGCGUAUAAAAAGAACUGGGACAAAAUUGAGUCUAGAAUUAUGGAUUUACAUCAAAAAACCUAUGAUGUUCUGUUGAAUGACAUGGUGAAGUAUAUAAAAUCAUUCUACGGAGGUAAUGAGUCCUUAGAAGGGAUCAUACCCAGUGCCACUCUCCUGACCGGAGUCAACCAGCCUGACCAUGUGUCUCAGUUUGAAACACUUAUAUCUAAAAUAAGGGAUGAAGUGACACCACAUAUUGCAAUGGUGAAUUCUCAAGACGCAUCUACAGUGAAGCAUUUAGUUGAGAAUGCAGUUUGGCAGCUAAUAAAUGGAUAUGAAAUAUUGAAUGACAGUGCAGAUUCAGAUGAUGAGACACUGCCAACAAAAAGGAAGUUGAAAAAGAACCAAUGUACAAUGCGAGCAUUACAGAACUGGUAUAAUGACAAAUAUCUCAGCUCCUCACCUAAGAAAAGACAAACUGUUUCUAUGAGAUCACUAGUGAUUAUUAUACCAGAUUUUGAGAGCUUCAAUUGUAAUGUUUUACAAGAUUUUGUUAUGAUUAUAAGUUCAUACCUGUCUUCUCUACCAAUAGUAUUCGUAUUCGGCGUGGCGACGUCUGUAUCGGCGCUGCAUAAGUCAUUCCCCUACCACGUGUCAUCCAAACUGCUGAUCAAAGUGUUCCAUUCUCAUUCAUCGCCAGUAUACAUGAACCAGGUGCUAGAAGAUAUUUUCCUGACCUACACGAGUCCCCUCCAUUUGUCCGGGAAAGCGUUCGAGCUGCUGACUGACGUGUUUUUAUUCUACGAUUUCUCGGUCACGGGACUUAUUCAAAGCAUAAAGUAUUGUAUGAUGGAACACUACUACGGAGACAACAUAAAAUCACUCUGCUGCGAACGAGAAGAUAUAGAAAACGCUGCAGCCAAACUAUCAGCAGAAGACUUAGAAACUAUUCGGCAACUGUCUUCAUUCCGACCGUUUCUUGAAGCACAGGACUGUGAAACGAAAAUUGGUUUAUUUGAAAACGAUAAUUUCUUUAGAGAAGUGUUGAGUCAGGAGUUGAACAAGUUACAUGAUUACUUGCAUAGCUUUUACUUGUGUGUGCGGCUAUUGGCGGCGUUUUUGAAGGAUUUGCCUAAAAAUAUCAUUGGAAAGACGGUACGCGAAAUAUACACAAAAUGCGCCGGCGAAUCCAUAACAAAAACCCCAACAUUCAAGGAAUGUAUGCAGCUCAUAAACUUCCAAUCACAAUUGAAGCUACUAGACAGUAUACAGGGCGCCCUUAAAGUCGUCAACUCAGAGCUACAAGGAUUAUCACCAGUGAAACCUUUACGAUCCUCACCGACUAAGAAUAACUCUAAUAAAUUAGUGUUAAAUAAUGAUUUAGGAGAAACGUUUGCAAAGACGGUUAGAAUACACUUGCUUACGUUUUUGAGGCAACUCGAAAACGCCAAUACGGAGGCUACGGUGCUCACAAAUGUUGCUAAUGAGACUGAGAAUGAUAUGGAAAUCGUGCCGGGGAAUAGAUACAAAUUGAAAGAGCAACUGUUACGUGCGACGAGAGCAGACCGGAUCCAAUCAGAGUUCGAGAUGAUUCGCUCCCGUUUCGUCAGCUACCUCGAAGAUAUGUUUGCUAAGGGUCUUCAACCGCCGACCACACAAACCUUCCACGAAGUAUUAUUCUUCACCGAUGUGAGCAGCGUCAGGAAGCAGAUCGUGGGCUCCCCCCGCGGUGCCGUGCAUACCGCGCUCAGUAACCCUCACCAUUAUCUACAGUGUUCCUGCUGCCGCCUCUCAUCAUCAGACAGCGCAUCAGCAACGCUCCCCGACGUGUGUCUCGCCUACAAGUUACACCGCGAAUGUGGAAAACACAUCAACUUGUACGACUGGCUGCAAGCGUUCGCGGCCGUACUCUGCCCGGGGGACGAACAAGGAGACGUGCAUACACAGCCACGCUUCACCCGAGCGGUGGCAGAACUCCAGUUCCUCGGCUUCAUAAAGUCCUCCAAGAGAAAGACGGACCACGUGAUGCGUCUCACCUGGUGAUAAUUCGAUAUCUUCAGUUCUUGAAGCUAGAGUCCCACUCAACGCGAUUACCACCGAACUCCAUCCCCUGUUGGUGACGCCAAAACUAUAUCUCGCUACACUGAUCGAGUGAAGGAACUGAUUAGGUAAGUAUACAGUUCUACAAAUUCCUACUUAUUAUCAAUUCAUGAAACUUGUUACGUGUCGCCUGGCCCGACAACAAGAUGAUAUUUUAAUUAUUUAUAAAAAGCACGAUUCGCAGACAUGUAAAUAAGCUUUUAG
rnacentral:misc_RNA from 1 species